rnacentral:rRNA from 1 species
AUUGAACGCUGGCGGCAGGCCUAACACAUGCAAGUCGAGCGGAUGAAGGGAGCUUGCUCCUGGAUUCAGCGGCGGACGGGUGAGUAAUGCCUAGGAAUCUGCCUGGUAGUGGGGGAUAACGUCCGGAAACGGGCGCUAAUACCGCAUACGUCCUGAGGGAGAAAGUGGGGGAUCUUCGGACCUCACGCUAUCAGAUGAGCCUAGGUCGGAUUAGCUAGUUGGUGGGGUAAAGGCCUACCAAGGCGACGAUCCGUAACUGGUCUGAGAGGAUGAUCAGUCCCACUGGAACUGGGACACGGUCCAGACUCCUACGGGAGGCAGCAGUGGGGAAUAUUGGACAAUGGGCGAAAGCCUGAUCCAGCCAUGCCGCGUGUGUGAAGAAGGUCUUCGGAUUGUAAAGCACUUUAAGUUGGGAGGAAGGGCAGUAAGUUAAUACCUUGCUGUUUUGACGUUACCAACAGAAUAAGCACCGGCUAACUUCGUG